rnacentral:lncRNA from 1 species
GUAGGGCAGGAGGGAAUUGUCCACAACAAGAACAGAAAGUGAAACCCAGGGAAAAAUUUACUCAUUGAAGAGAAGAGGAAACUGUGGUAAUUUGAAUGCAUUUGGCCCCAUGAUCUCUUAGGGAGUGGCACUAUUAGGACGUGUGGUUUUGUUGGAGUAGGUAUGGCCUUGUUGGAGGAAAUGUGUCACUGGCUUUGAGGUUUCCUAUGCUCAGGAUACUGCCCAGUGAGUCAGUUGACUUCCUGUUGCCUCUGAGUCAAGAUGUAGGACUCUCAGCGCUCCAUGUCUACCAUCCUCACCACGAUGAUAAUGGACUGAACCUCUGAAACUGGUCCAUAAAUCUUGUGAUGUGAGCUCAUGGACUUUAAGCAGCCUCAAGAACUUUGAAGAAUGAAAUAUUUAGCAAGGAGACAAGUGACUGCUGUUAUGGAAACGGAUAUUACCCACCCAGCAGUGGUGUGUUCUAAGUGCUUGACAUUCCAAUCUUAAAACCCAAGAAGUGGGUCUGUGAGGUGGCUCCACAGGUGGAGAUGCAUUGCAGGCCUGGAGACCUAGGCUGGAUGGAUUCUCGUGACCCAGCUGUUUUACAGACACCUGGGAAUGAGUGCUGUUACUGUAUCAGUGAGUCUGGCCUGGCGGAAACUAAUAUCAAGUCGCUCUGCAAAUUGUCUGAAGACUUCACCAAUAUGACCAGGGCAUCUCUCGGUUCCAUCUUCCUGGCAAUCUUCACUGUUCCCAAGGCUAGUCCCACUCAUAGAGCUUGUGGGUACUCAAAGGCUUCAUCCAUAUCCAAACUUCGGCAUCUCCUGAGGUCCUGCAUUCUCGGCGGCUCCCAGGGCGGCUCAGCAGGAAGCUGGGCAUGGCCUUGUGCUACCAGGCAGAGCCUGUACCUCGUCAGAGACAGAACAAAGGCAGUUUGGAUUUGGGGAUCCCAUACAUCUUUUAUAUUCCCCAUCCAUUAUUGCUGGUCCUGAACGGUAUCUGCUUUAGAGCAACUGGUGGCCUCCCUCAAAACAGCUAUCCUGCUCCUCUGUCACAUCAGAGCAACAGAAAUAAGAACUUAAAACAGCACUGACAAGUCACCCAGUUUCCAG